rnacentral:rRNA from 1 species
UUGAUGGAGAGUUUGAUUCUGGCUCAGAACGAACGCUGGCGGCGUGGAUAAGACAUGCAAGUCGAACGAGAGAAUUGCUAGCUUGCUAAUAAUUCUCUAGUGGCGCACGGGUGAGUAACACGUGAGUAACCUGCCCCCGAGAGCGGGAUAGCCCUGGGAAACUGGGAUUAAUACCGCAUAGUAUCGAAAGAUUAAAGCAGCAAUGCGCUUGGGGAUGGGCUCGCGGCCUAUUAGUUAGUUGGUGAGGUAACGGCUCACCAAGGCGAUGACGGGUAGCCGGUCUGAGAGGAUGUCCGGCCACACUGGAACUGAGACACGGUCCAGACACCUACGGGUGGCAGCAGUCGAGAAUCAUUCACAAUGGGGGAAACCCUGAUGGUGCGACGCCGCGUGGGGGAAUGAAGGUCUUCGGAUUGUAAACCCCUGUCAUGUGGGAGCAAAUUAAAAAGAUAGUACCACAAGAGGAAGAGACGGCUAACUCUGUGCCAGCAGCCGCGGUAAUACAGAGGUCUCAAGCGUUGUUCGGAAUCACUGGGCGUAAAGCGUGCGUAGGCUGUUUCGUAAGUCGUGUGUGAAAGGCGCGGGCUCAACCCGCGGACGGCACAUGAUACUGCGAGACUAGAGUAAUGGAGGGGGAACCGGAAUUCUCGGUGUAGCAGUGAAAUGCGUAGAUAUCGAGAGGAACACUCGUGGCGAAGGCGGGUUCCUGGACAUUAACUGACGCUGAGGCACGAAGGCCAGGGGAGCGAAAGGGAUUAGAUACCCCUGUAGUCCUGGCAGUAAACGGUGCACGCUUGGUGUGCGGGGAAUCGACCCCCUGCGUGCCGGAGUUAACGCGUUAAGCGUGCCGCCUGGGGAGUACGGUCGCAAGAUUAAAACUCAAAGAAAUUGACGGGGACCCGCACAAGCGGUGGAGUAUGUGGCUUAAUUCGAUGCAACGCGAAGAACCUUACCUGGGCUUGACAUGUAAUGAACAACAUGUGAAAGCAUGCGACUCUUCGGAGGCGUUACACAGGUGCUGCAUGGCCGUCGUCAGCUCGUGUCGUGAGAUGUUUGGUUAAGUCCAGCAACGAGCGCAACCCCUGUUGCCAGUUACCAGCACGUGAAGGUGGGGACUCUGGCGAGACUGCCCAGAUCAACUGGGAGGAAGGUGGGGACGACGUCAGGUCAGUAUGGCCCUUAUGCCCAGGGCUGCACACGUACUACAAUGCCCAGUACAGAGGGGGCCGAAGCCGCGAGGCGGAGGAAAUCCUAAAAACUGGGCCCAGUUCGGACUGUAGGCUGCAACCCGCCUACACGAAGCCGGAAUCGCUAGUAAUGGCGCAUCAGCUACGGCGCCGUGAAUACGUUCCCGGGUCUUGUACACACCGCCCGUCACAUCAUGGAAGCCGGUCGCACCCGAAGUAUCUGAAGCCAACCGCAAGGAGGCAGGGUCCUAAGGUGAGACUGGUAACUGGGAUGAAGUCGUAACAAGGUAGCCGUAGGGGAACCUGCGGCUGGAUCACCUCCUUU